CAAGAUGAACGCUGGCGGCGUGCUUAACACAUGCAAGUCGAACGGAGAUAUCAUUUUCGAAGCGAUUAGUUUACUAAGAGUGGAGAUGUUGGUAUCUUAGUGGCGGACGGGUGAGUAACGCGUGGGUAACCUGCCUUACACUGGGGGAUAACACUUAGAAAUAGGUGCUAAUACCGCAUAACAGGAGAAGAUGCAUGUCUUUUCCUUAAAAACUCCGGUGGUGUAAGAUGGACCCGCGUCUGAUUAGCUGGUUGGCGGGGUAACGGCCCACCAAGGCGACGAUCAGUAGCCGGCCUGAGAGGGUGAACGGCCACAUUGGGACUGAGACACGGCCCAAACUCCUACGGGAGGCAGCAGUGGGGAAUAUUGCACAAUGGGGGGAACCCUGAUGCAGCGACGCCGCGUGAGUGAAGAAGUAUUUCGGUAUGUAAAGCUCUAUCAGCAGGGAAGAAGAUGACGGUACCUGACUAAGAAGCCCCGGCUAACUACGUGCCAGCAGCCGCGGUAAUACGUAAGGGGCAAGCGUUAUCCGGAUUUACUGGGUGUAAAGGGAGCGUAGACGGCAGGGCAAGUCUGGAGUGAAAGCCCGGGGCCCAACCCCGGGACUGCUUUNGGAACUGCCAUGCUGGAG
rnacentral:rRNA from 1 species